AUUGAACGCUGGCGGCAGGCCUAACACAUGCAAGUCGAGCGGAUGAAGGGAGCUUGCUCCUGGAUUCAGCGGCGGACGGGCGAGUAAUGCCUAGGAAUCUGCCUGGUAGUGGGGGAUAACGUCCGGAAACGGGCGCUAAUACCGCAUACGUCCUGAGGGAGAAAGUGGGGGAUCUUCGGACCUCACGCUAUCAGAUGAGCCUAGGUCGGAUUAGCUAGUUGGUGGGGUAAAGGCCUACCAAGGCGACGAUCCGUAACUGGUCUGAGAGGAUGAUCAGUCACACUGGAACUGAGACACGGUCCAGACUCCUACGGGAGGCAGCAGUGGGGAAUAUUGGACAAUGGGCGAAAGCCUGAUCCAGCCAUGCCGCGUGUGCGAAGAAGGUCUUCGGAUUGUAAAGCACUUUAAGUUGGGAGGAAGGGCAGUAAGUUAAUACCUUGCUGUUUUGACGUUACCAACAGAAUAAGCACCGGCUAACUUCGUG
rnacentral:rRNA from 1 species